UCUGCCAGCUGAUCCAGCACUCCCACAUGCUGAAAUGGAGCACUGCUUAGAGCUCAUCAGUGCAAAACAUUUUUGAAAACCAUCUGAAGAGUCAGCAGGUUUGGCUUUGCCAGAACGAACUCUUGACACCAAGACAUUUUUACAAAUCAAUGAAAGCAGGAGUCCAAGGACAAGCAACAAGAUUGAUUGAUGCCCUUCCUUGACAUUUCAGGACCAGAACCACUAACAGAUGCUGUAGAGAAGCUCACUGUGCACAUUUUUAAUCCACAUCAUAGACAUAAGCGUAGUAUGUUUGUAAACUGAGGGAGUAGGAUAUUAUUGACCUGAAUGACACUGAAAGCAUUUGCACUCACAAAAAAAUGUAAUGAUCUCCCUUUUAAUAAAGCAACACAUGAAUAAAACAACAGCAUAA